CCUACGUGCGGCAGCAGUGAGGAAUAUUGGUCAAUGGCCGGAAGGCUGAACCAGCCAAGCCGCGUGAAGGACGAAGGUGCCAAGCAUUGUAAACUUCUUUUGUCAAGGGACAAAAUCAGGCUCGAGAGCCUGACCGAGGGUACUUGAAGAAAAAGCAUCGGCUAACUCCGUGCCAGCAGCCGCGGUAAUACGGAGGAUGCGAGCGUUAUCCGGAUUUAUUGGGUUUAAAGGGUGCGUAGGCGGACUGUUAAGUCAGCGGUAAAAGCCCGGGGCUCAACCCCGGCGAGCCGUUGAAACUGGCUGUCUUGAGAUGUCGAGAGGUAUGCGGAAUGCGCAGUGUAGCGGUGAAAUGCUUAGAUAUCACGAAGAACCCCGAUUGCGAAGGCAGCCUGCCGCAGCGUUACUGACGCUGAAGCUCGAAAGCGCGGGUAUCGAACAGGAUUAGAUACCCGGGUAGUC
rnacentral:rRNA from 1 species